UACCAGCACCCCGAGUGGUCGGGACGAUUAUUGGCCUAAAGCAUCCGUAGCCGGCCUUACAAGUCCUCCGUUAAAUCCAGCUGCUUAACAGAUGGGCUGCGGAGGAUACUAUAAGACUAGGAGGCAGGAGAGGCAAGCGGUACUCAGUGGGUAGGGGUAAAAUCCGUUGAUCCAUUGAAGACCACCAGUGGCGAAGGCGGCUUGCCAGAAUGCGCUCGACGGUGAGGGAGUGAAAG
rnacentral:rRNA from 1 species